rnacentral:snRNA from 1 species
AGACUUAGCCAUUGAACUCCAGAUGUGCCCAGGAUGAGACUUAGCCAUUGAACUCCAGAUGUGCUGACUCCUGUAAUUUCUUCAAAUGUGGGAAACUUGACUGUGUAAUUUGUGGUAGUGGGGGAC